UUUAUUGAAAUACUACCUGUGCCCGCGACUUCGUUUGCGUGAAAUUUAACAGAAAAGUUAUUGUCAGUUUGCAGUAAUGAAAUAAAUAACUUUCUAAA